CCUACGGGAGGCUGCCGUGAGGAAUAUUGGUCAAUGGGCGCGAGCCUGAACCAGCCAAGUCGCGUGAGGGAAGACGGUCCUAUGGAUUGUAAACCUCUUUUGUCGGGGAGCAAAAGACGCCACGCGUGGCGUUCCGAGAGUACCCGAAGAAAAAGCAUCGGAUAACUCCGUGCCAGCAGCCGCGGUAAUACGGAGGAUGCGAGCGUUAUCCGGAUUUAGUGGGUGUAAAGGGUGAGCAGGCGGAAGAUCAAGUCAGCGGUAAAAUUGAGGGGCUCAACCUCUUCGAGCCGUUGAAACUGGUUUUCUUGAGUGAGCGAGAAGUAUGCGGAACGCGUGGUGUAGCGGUGAAAUGCAUAGAUAUCACGCAGAACUCCGAUUGCGAAGGCAGCAUACCGGCGCUCAACUGACGCUCAUGCACGAAAGUGUGGGUAUCGAACAGGAUUAGAUACCCCAGUAGUC
rnacentral:rRNA from 1 species